GCCGAAGUGGCGGAACAGGCAGACGCGCUGCGUUCAGGGCGCAGUGGGCUUCACGCCCAUGUGGGUUCAACUCCCACCUUCGGCACCU
rnacentral:tRNA from 1 species